AUGAUGAAAACGAUUGUGCAGGGAAGUCUCAACAUUAGUGUUAGGGCUCUGCAAAAAGAUGCAGAAGAUCAAAUUCGCUUCCCUGUCAGCUACAACAAGUCUAGGUGUGCGAAGGAAAAUAUAUUCAAGAACUUGUAUGGUACCUAUAACGAGGCCUAUUCUUAUGCACCCAGAAUGCUUCAUCACAUAGCAAGUGCUAAUAGGGGGACUCAAGUUUGGCGGAGAGAACAUGCAAACCCAAUGAACUCGGGUGAGCUAAUCCUGGACCGCUUAUUCUGGGCAUUCGCCCAGACUAAACAAGCCUUCAGGCACUAUCGCCCGGUACUAUCAGUUGAUGGUACCUUUCUCACUAGAAAGUACAAGGGCACACUAUUGGUGGCGAUUGCAGCGGAUGCAACUAAUCAACUUCUUCCUAUUUCAUAUGCACUGGUCGAGAGCGAGAACAAAGAUAGCUGGUUGUGGUUCCUGAGCUGCGUGAAGAUGGGUGUCGUGAAAGAGCGUGAAGGUGUUUGCAUCAUCUCUGAUCGCAAACUGGCUUAUUAA
rnacentral:rRNA from 1 species